rnacentral:rRNA from 1 species
GAUGAACGCUGGCGGCGUGCCUAAUACAUGCAAGUCGAGCGAACAGAUAAGGAGCUUGCUCCUUUGACGUUAGCGGCGGACGGGUGAGUAACACGUGGGUAACCUACCUAUAAGACUGGGAUAACUUCGGGAAACCGGAGCUAAUACCGGAUAACAUUUGGAACCGCAUGGUUCUAAAGUGAAAGAUGGUUUUGCUAUCACUUAUAGAUGGACCCGCGCCGUAUUAGCUAGUUGGUAAGGUAGCGGCUUACCAAGGCGACGAUACGUAGCCGACCUGAGAGGGUGAUCGGCCACACUGGAACUGAGACACGGUCCAGACUCCUACGGGAGGCAGCAGUAGGGAAUCUUCCGCAAUGGGCGAAAGCCUGACGGAGCAACGCCGCGUGAGUGAUGAAGGGUUUCGGCUCGUAAAACUCUGUUAUUAGGGAAGAACAAACGUGUAAGUAACUGUGCACGUCUUGACGGUACCUAAUCAGAAAGCCACGGCUAACUACGUG